rnacentral:rRNA from 1 species
UUAAGAAGUCUGUUCGACUUUUAAAUAAUUACAUGAGUUGAGUUCAAACCGGUGUAAGCCAGGUUGGUUUCUAUCUUUUUAUAUUUCUUCUAGUACGAAAGGACCUAAGAAAUUAAUAU